GCAUCGUCGCCGGGACAAAACACUAUCAAUCCAUCGUCGAGAUUGUCCUUGAACGUUUUCUCGGCGUCGGAGGUCUGCAGAAUCUCGGUGAACACUUUACAGCCGUGAGCCGACAUCAAAGCCGUCAGAUUCAUCUGACUCGGACCAGGAGUCGGAGCUUCGGCUUGAACCGACGGCUAGAUCUUGCUGAUCUGAAUGACGGACAUGUUAUACGGAACCUCACCCGACGACUUGAUGAAGACGGCGUCGACGUUGCCGCCGUUAUCCUGGGCUUCGAAGCCGACCUUACCGCCUUUCAGAUCCGUGAUAUUGACGAAUCCAGAGGAGCCGGAAGCGGUGCCGUUGGUGAUCUGGUGGAGUUUCUUUUUUUGGUGCCGAAGUAGUCCAAGAGAACGUUGCAUAUGGCCGUAAAGGCUCAUCAACCUGAGGUGGCUAGGUUGUUGUUUACGCGGGCUGAAAGUGUAUUAAUUUCAUGUUUUCCGAAUCUGGACAAAAAGUCACCCUUGUUUUUGGCCGCCGAAGCAGGGCAUCAGGAGCUCUUUGAGCAUAUAAUACAAUUCGGUGCUUCGAAUGUUAACGCUCAAAAUAUGCUCAUGGAUGGCCAACCACUCCUGCACGUUGCUAUUUUGACAAGGAAGAAGGCAACUAACAUGGAUGGCCUUGAGGCAUGCUAGUGCUCCACGAGGGCAACCAAAGACCAUCAAAACAAAAAAAAAAUUUAAAUGUCGAGGCCUUCAAGGAUAGGAUUAACACUCUCCUGUUGGUGGCAACAAUUAUUAUCACUGUGACCUUUGCGGCUGGUAUCACUGUUCCAGGUGGAUACGACGAUUCUGAAAAUCACAAGGGCAUGGCACUAGCAUUAUCAUUGAGAGAGGAGUUUGGAAAAGAUAUGGUGAUGCCGUCUAACUAAAGGCGAGGAAAUGUGUAUUGAGAGUACGAGACUCUCAUUUUGCUGUGACUCUGUGUGUAAACCAAGGGUUUUGUAUGUGUGGGUUUGGAUAACCAUUUUGUCUAACCAAGCUCAAGCUUUGGAAACUUGUAAUCGCUUAGGGGUAUUUAUUGUUUAAUUAAUUGUUGUAGGAUUAACUAUAUUAUCGCAUGAAGGCUAUUUAUAUAAUGUAAUGCAAGUAUGAGGACUUAUUAUCAGUUUUAUUUUAGAUGGCCAUGAUUAUUGUAUUCCCAUUUGGGCAUGAAAAUUGAGGCGUUACAAAUUAGUUUAUGAUUUAUUUUAUAAUCCCACAUUGGGAGAAGAAGAAAAA